rnacentral:tRNA from 1 species
CAGAAAAUAGUUUAAGUAAAAUGUUGAUUUUGGAGAUCAGAGAUGAAGGUUUAUCUUUUCUGA